AUGGACCCAGGACCUGUGGCAAUAAGAGUGGUGCUGAGGAUUGGCAGUGCCUACUUAUGCCAUCGGCUGCGUGUGGGCUACAGGAGCAGGCAGGGCGGUGCGGUCUGUGCUUCAGUUGCUUGCAUAUCAACGCCACUCUACAUCGAUGACAUCAUCAUCACCACCCGUGUGGAGGAAGAUAUGACCGAUUUCUCCUGGGAGAUCACUGGAUCCCUCAUUCAGGUGGACUGCUGCAGGACGACACUUUUUCCAGGGGUGACCCAGGCCUGCAGGGUCCCAGUGUCACAGGGCUUCUUCCCCUCUGCCCUCCAAGCCUUAAGCAUGGCGUUUCUCCAUGGGAUCUGGGGGAAGCGGGCUGGUCUCAGGACAGAGAGAGGCGCUCCACAACACCCCACUCUGCCUCUGCCAUCUCUCAUCCCCUCCUCUGUCCACACAGGUCAGCCCAAGGCCACUCCCUCGGUCACUCUGUUCCCGCCAUCCUCUGAGGAGCUCCAAGCCAACAAGGCCACGCUGGUGUGUCACAAGAGUGACUUAUAUCCGGGAAUCUUGACGGUGACCUGGAAGGCAGAUGGUACCCCCAUCACCCAGGGUGUGGAGAUGACCACACCCUCCAAACAGCAAGAAGUACGCAGCCAGCAGCUACCUGAGCCUGACGCCCGAGCAGUGGAGGUCCCGCAGAAGGUACAGCUGCCAGGUCACACAUGAAGGGAGCACCGUGGAGAAGACAGUGGCCUCUGCAGAAUGUUCGUAGGUUCCCAACCCUCACCCCACCCACAGGGGCCUGGAGCUGCAGGAUCCCAGGGGAGGGGUCUCUCUACAUCCCAAGUCAUCCAGCCUUUCUCCCUGUACCCAGUAAACCCUCAAUAAAUAUCCUCUUGGUCAACCAGAAA